rnacentral:rRNA from 1 species
ACUCUCGGCAACGGAUAUCUCGGCUCUCGCAUCGAUGAAGAACGUAGCGAAAUGCGAUACUUGGUGUGAAUUGCAGAAUCCCGUGAACCAUCGAGUCUUUGAACGCAAGUUGCGCCCUAAGCCGUCAGGCCGAGGGCACGCCUGCCUGGGCGUCACGCAACGUCGCCC